AAAUACCGCCCUUGUGCCUGUUGCCUAACUUCUACUGAGUAGAAGAACAGUGGCUGCUGGGUAGUUUGACUGGGGUGGUCGCCUCCAAAAGAGUAUCGGAGGCUUUCAAAGGUCCGCUCAGUACGCUUGGUAACCGUACGUAGAGCGCAAUAGUAGAAGCGGGCUUGACUGUGAGACUGACUAGUCGAGCAGGGUCGAAAGACGGAUAUAGUGAUCCGGUGGUUCCGCAUGGAAGGGCCAUCGCUCAAAGGAUAAAAGGUACGCCCGGGAUAACAGGCU
rnacentral:rRNA from 1 species